AUUGAACGCUGGCGGCAGGCCUAACACAUGCAAGUCGAGCGGAGCGACGGACGGGUGAGUACUGCCUAGGAAUCUGCCUGGUAGUGGGGGAUACCGUCCGGAAACGGGCGCUAAUACCGCAUACUAUCAGAUGAGCCUAGGUCGGCUUAGCUAGUUGGUGGGGUAAAGGCCUACCAAGGCGACGAUCCGUAACUGGUCUGAGAGGAUGAUCAGUCACACUGGAACUGAGACACGGUCCAGACUCCUACGGGAGGCAGCAGUGGGGAAUAUUGGACAAUGGGCGAAAGCCUGAUCCAGCCAGGCCGCGUGUGUGAAGAAGGUCUUCGGAUUGUAAAGCACUUUAAGUUGGGAGGCGUUACCAACAGAAAAAGCACCGGCUAACUUCGUGCCAGCAGCCGCGGUAAUUC
rnacentral:rRNA from 1 species